rnacentral:rRNA from 1 species
GAUGAACGCUGGCGGCGUGCCUAAUACAUGCAAGUCGAGCGAACAGACGAGGAGCUUGCUCCUCUGACGUUAGCGGCGGACGGGUGAGUAACACGUGGAUAACCUACCUAUAAGACUGGGAUAACUUCGGGAAACCGGAGCUAAUACCGGAUAAUAUAUUGAACCGCAUGGUUCAAUAGUGAAAGACGGUUUUGCUGUCACUUAUAGAUGGAUCCGCGCCGCAUUAGCUAGUUGGUAAGGUAACGGCUUACCAAGGCAACGAUGCGUAGCCGACCUGAGAGGGUGAUCGGCCACACUGGAGCUGAGACACGGUCCAGACUCCUACGGGAGGCAGCAGUAGGGAAUCUUCCGCAAUGGGCGAAAGCUUGUCGGAGCAACGCCGCGUGAGUGAUGAAGGUCUUCGGAUCGUAAAACUCUGUUAUUAGGGAAGAACAAAUGUGUAAGUAACUAUGCACGUCUUGACGGUACCUAAUCAGAAAGCCACGGCUAACUACGUG